rnacentral:rRNA from 1 species
UGAGACACGGUCCAGACUCCUACGGGAGGCAGCAGUGGGGAAUUUUUCGCAAUGGGGGAAACCCUGACGAAGCAAUGCCGCGUGGAUGAUGAAGUAUUUCGGUACGUAAAAUCCUUUCGACAGGGACGAAACCGCAAGGUUGACGGUACCUGUAGAAGAAGCCCCGGCUAACUCCGUGCCAGCAGCCGCGGUAAUACGGGGGGGCAAGCGUUGUUCGGAAUUACUGGGCGUAAAGGGUGCGUAGGCGGCUUUCUAAGUUGGAUGUGAAAACUCUGGGCUCAACCCAGAGCCUGCAUCCAAAACUGGAGAGCUUGGGUUCUGGAGGGGAAAGCGGAAUUCCUGGUGUAGCGGUGAAAUGCGUAGAUAUCAGGAGGAACACCGGUGGCGAAGGCGGCUUUCUGGACAGAUACCGACGCUGAGGCACGAAAGAUAGGGGAGCAAACAGGAUUAGAUACCCUGGUAGUCCUAGCCCUAAACGAUGGAUACUUGCUGUGAGG